CCACUUGCAUGGGUGAGGAGGGGGGUGGAAUGGAAGGAUGGGAGAAUGCAGUGUAUCCAACCCAAUGUCUGAAAACCGCCUCUGUGGAGUCCAUAGAUAUUCACUCGCAGCACCAAACAUCAGACAUAAAAAUGUGAGGCACCCCAUUUCAACAUCACAGGUAUUGCCUUUGUGCCUUUCAGGCAUCCCUCUGUUCGCCCUUUCCCAUCAAACAAGAUAGCUACCACCCUCUCUCUUCUCCCUCAAGCACUUUGUUUUGGUAUGUUCUUGUUUUGCAAGUAUGUCUUGAGGACUUGGGAGAAAAAGAGCAUGAAAGAAUACAUGUAGUGAUCUCUCUUGUCAUUGUUCUGUAUUGUUGUUGAUCUUGGUUUUAGAGGGUAGAUUCAUUCUAGGAGGGUUGGAAUGGCAAAGAGUUCAGUUCCAGAAGUGGCAAGUAUAAUGGGGCAGGUAAGUUUGAGUUAGAUCUUAUAUGACUCGAUGAUAUAACUAUGGAUCGGCCGCGAUUUCGACGAAAUUAGCAUCAGUGGAAUGCCAAAAUACUCCCAGAACUUGUGAAUCUGGUCACUGUUUUGGGGAGCUAUAUAUAACAACAUUCACUGUUCCUUUAAAACUAUUUGAUUCCGAAAGCUUCUGCAUCAAGAUCUCUGACUCCCAUUGUAGGAACAUCAACCCUUCAGACCAGACUAUAGCUAUCUACCUCGCAGUUUCCCACCCUCUUACGGUUUAACAACUCACAUUGUUGGUCUCAGAGUCCAUCUUUAGCUUUGUGAAGUCGAUAACAGGAACUUGAAAUUGCUAAGUAGUUUUGGUGUAUCAUAUCAUUCAGGAGAAGAAAGAGAAGGCUAUAUAUCAUUCUAGCUAUCAAGUAACAACCAUUGGGUUGCUCCACAAGAACGAGGGGAUUUUAAUGUAUUUUGAGACACCGAGCACAGAGUCAAGAUUGCCAAAAUUUCAGAACUUGAGGGCUUAUUGGGUUGGCGUGAUGGAAGGUGGUGAAAGGAGAGAUACAUCAACAAGUGGAUCAAGCAACAACAAUAAAAGGCCUCAGCAGCAUGGGCUCGACCGCAGAGCCUUCUCUUCCAACUAUUUCAGCAUGGAAUCAUUUCUGGUGCUCGUCUGCCUCACUGCAUCAUUGCUGAUUCUUCCACUGGUUCUGCCUCCAUUGCCUCCGCCACCUUUCUUGUUACUGCUGCUUCCUGUAUGCAUGCUACUUGUGUUAAUAGUCUUGGCUUUCAUGCCCUCUGAUAUCCGGAAUAUCGCCUCCUCAUACUUGUAAAGAAGCUUCAUUUUAUAUCGAGACGAGCGGAAUGUGUUUUUCCUACUUUACUUUUGAAUGAUAAGAUCGACACUUGCAAAUUAAA